rnacentral:rRNA from 1 species
UACGGGGGGAGCAAGCGUUGUUCGGAUUUACUGGGCGUAAAGGGCGCGUAGGCGGUCAGCACAAGUCAGUUGUGAAAUCUCCGGGCUUAACUCGGAAAGGUCAACUGAUACUGUGCGACUAGAGUGCGGAAGGGGCAACUGGAAUUCUCGGUGUAGCGGUGAAAUGCGUAGAUAUCGGGAGGAACACCAGUGGCGAAGGCGGCUGCCUGGGCCAGUUCUGACGCUGAGGCGCGAAAGCGUGGGGAGCAAACAGG